GUCCGAAUGGUGUAGUCGGUUAUCACAUUCGCCUCACACGCGAAAGGUCCCCAGUUCGAACCUGGGUUCGGACA